UUGCAUUGCACCUUCCCACCCAAGCAGCUUGGUUUUCUUUCGCUUUGACCCUAUAAUUUCUUUCCCACUUCGUUGUCGUCUCUGAAUUACCUUUCUCUUGAUUCUUGCCCAUUAGCAGUCCUCUAAUUUCAGAUGUUUGUGGAUCCCCAAGUGUUCCCAGGGAAAACUAGUAGAAAAGGUCAAGCUGAUGCAAGAGGUGGGUUCCCAUGGUCUUGGGCAGCUCCACCCCUGUGGCUUUGCAGGGUACAGUCUCCCUCCUAGCUGCUUUCAUGGGCUGGUGUUGAGUGUCUGCAGCUUUUCCAGGUGCACAGUGCAAGCUAUCAGUGGAUCUACCAUUCUGGGGCCUAUGAUGGGAAGGGCUGCCAUGAAUACCUCUAUUAUGCCCUGGAGGCAUUUUUCCUAUUGUCUUGGGGAUUAACAUUCGGUUCCUUGUUACUUAUGCAAGUUUCUGCAACUGGCUUGAAUUUCUUCUCAGAAAAUGGGAUUUUUCUUUUCUGUCACAUUAUCAGGCUGCAAAUUUUCCAAACGUUUAUGCUCUGCUUCCCUUAUAAAACUGAGUGCCUUUAACAGCACCCAAGUCACCUCUUGAAUGCUUUGCUACUUAGAAAUUUCUUCUGCCAGAUAUGCUAAAUUAUCUCUCUCAAUUUCAAAAUUCCACAGAUCUCUAGGGCAGGGGCAAAAUGCCACUAGUCUCUUUAUUAAAACAUAACAAGAGUCACCUUUGCCCCAGUUCCCAACAAGUUCCUCAUCUCCAUCUGAGACCAACUCAGCCUGGAUUUCAUUGUCCAUAUUGUUAUCAGCAUUUUGGGCAAAGCCAUUCAAGAAGUCUCUAGGGAGUUCCAAACUUUCCCACAUUUUCCUGUCUUUUUCUGAGCCCUCCAAGCUGUUCCAGCCUCUGCCUGUUACCCAGUUCCAAAGUUGCUUUCACAUUUUUGGCUAUCUUUUCAGCAACACCCCACACCUGGAACCAAUUUACUGUAUUAGUCUGUUUUCAUACUGCUGAUAAAAACAUACCUGAGACUGGGCAAUUUACAAAAUAAAGAGGUUUAAUUGGACUCACAGUUCCACGUGGCUGAGGAGGCCUCAGAAUCAUGGUGAAAGGCAAGGAGGAGCAAGUCAUGUCUUACAUCAAUGGCACCAGGCAAAGAGAGCUUGUGCAGGGAUCUCCUGUUUUGAAAACCAUCAGAUCUUGUGAGACUUAUUCACUACCACAAGAACAGUAUGGGGGAAACCACCCCCAUGAUUUAAUUUUCUCCCACAGGGUUCUUCCCACAAGAUGUGGGAAUUACAGGAGUACAAUUCAAGAUGAUAUUUGGGUGGGGACACAGUCAAAACAUAUCAAUCAUUAAACAAGAAAAGUGGGAAACUGUCACAACCAAGAGAUCCCUAAAGAGGUAUGCUGACUGAAUGCAAUGUGGGAUCCUAGGGAAAAGAGAAUAUUAUGUAAAAAUUAAGGAUUUCUGAAUAAAGUAUGGACUUUAUUUAGUUACUAAUAAUGUGUCAAUAAUGGUUCAUUAGAUGUAACAAAUGUACCAUAUUGAUGUAAGAUGUUCAUAGUAGGGAAAACUGAAUAUGAGUAUAUGAGAACUUUCUAUAUUAUCUUUGCAACUUAUUGCUAAAUCUAAAACUAUUCUGAAAUAAAAAAUUAAUUUUUAAAAAGUUGCUUGAACCUUUAUUCUAGCAUUUCCUUAAACAAGCCUCACCAUUGACCUUUCUUUUAAAACAACAAAUUCCUUUUGCUUAAGUCAGUUUCUGUUGGGCUGUCUGUCACUUGCAGUUCAACAAGACCUCCUGGUAAAUUGACUCUGUGUGGAAUCACCAUUACUUCCAUACUAUUUGAAGAUAUAUUUUGCUGCCAAGAGUUUUUUUCUUAAAAUAUCUGAUAUACAAUAACAUUGUAUUGUGUACUUUAAAAUGUGUUGAGAGGGUAGACCUCAUAUUCAGUAUUCUUACCACAUACAGAAAGGGCUAAUAUGAUGUGCCUUUGUGAAUUCAGACCUGAAAGUGCUAUUCUCACCACACAGAUGAAAAAAUACAGUUUGUUUUCAUACAUAGGAGAAAACUGAAUGGGCUACCUUUGAAGUCCAGGGCACCCUCCUCUAUUUUGUUCACUUCCUCAUCAGGCACUAUGUACAGACUGAGAAGAGAAAGACUUCGAAAGAGUGGUCAAGACAGCAACAAAGACAAUGACUGGAAAGACAGAAGAAUUGUGCAGAGAAAGAGGUAGAUAGAAAUGGAAGUCUGUUGUUCCCUUCUGUGUGUCUAUGUGUUUUCAUCAUUUAGCUCCCACUCACAAGUGAGAACAUGCCACAUUUGGUUUUCUGUUCCUGUGUUAGUUUGCUAAGGAUAAUGGCCUCUAGCUCUAUCCAUGUCCCUGCAAAGGACAUGAUCUCAUUCUUUUUAAUGGGUGUAAACUAUUCCAUGGUGUAUAUGUACCACAACACCCCUGAACUUAACUUAAAGUUAAAAAUAAAAAAUAAAAAUGGAAAAACUGGGUAAAGCUAUACUAUCUUUGUAACUCUUCUGUAAAUCUAAAAUUCUAUCAAAAUAAAAAGUUUUAAAUGUAUUUAAA